UUCCGGUUGAUCCCGCCGGACCUGACUGCUAUUGGAUUGAUAUUAAGCCAUGCGAGUCAUUGUAGCAAUACAAGGCAUACUGCUCAGUAACACGUAGUUAAUCUACCCUGUGGACGAGGAUAACCUCGGGAAACUGAGAAUAAUACUCGAUAGAUCAUUAUGCUUGGAAUAGUUUGUGAUUUAAAUGAUUUCGCCAUAGGAUGAGACUGCGGCCUAUCAGCUAGUUGGUGUGGUAAUGGCUCACCAAGGCUAUAACAGGUACGGGCUCUGAGAGGAGAAGCCCGGAGAUGGGUACUGAGACACUGACCCAGGCCCUAUGGGGCGCAGCAGGCGAGAAAACUUUGCAAUGUGCGAAAGCACGACAAGGUUAAUCCAAGUGAUUUCUGCUAAAGAAAUCUUUUGUCAGUUUUAAAAACACUGGUGAAUAAGGGGUGGGCAAGUUCUGGUGUCAGCCGCCGCGGUAAAACCAGCACCUCAAGUGGUCAGGAUGAUUAUUGGGCCUAAAGCAUCCGUAGCCGGUUGUGUAAGUUUUCGGUUAAAUCCAUGUGCUUAACAUAUGGGCAGCUGGAAAUACUAUACAACUAGGGAGUGGGAGAGGUAGACGGUACUCGAUAGGAAGGGGUAAAAUCCUUUGAUCUAUUGAUGACCACCAGUAGCGAAGGCGGUCUACCAGAACACGUUCGACGGUGAGGGAUGAAAGCUGGGGGAGCAAACCGGAUUAGAUACCCGGGUAGUCCCAGCUGUAAACAAUGCAAACUCAGUGAUGCGUUGGCUUAUAGCUAACGCAGUGCUGCAGGGAAGCCGUUAAGUUUGCCGCCUGGGAAGUACGUACGCAAGUAUGAAACUUAAAGGAAUUGGCGGGGGAGCACCACAAGGGGUGAAGCCUGCGGUUCAAUUGGAGUCAACGCCGGG
rnacentral:rRNA from 1 species